GAUGAACGCUGGCGGCGUGCCUAAUACAUGCAAGUCGAGCGAACAGACGAGGAGCUUGCUCCUCUGACGUUAGCGGCGGACGGGUGAGUAACACGUGGAUAACCUACCUAUAAGACUGGGAUAACUUCGGGAAACCGGAGCUAAUACCGGAUAAUAUAUUGAACCGCAUGGUUCAAUAGUGAAAGACGGUUUUGCUGUCACUUAUCGCUGGAUCCGCGCCGCAUUAGCUAGUUGGUAAGGUCACGGCUUAUCAAGGCAACGAUGCGUAGCCGACCUGAGAGGGUGGUCGGCCAGACUGGAACGGAGGAACGGCCAAGUCGGCUACGGGAGGCAGCAGAAGCGACUCUGGCGGAAAGGGGGAAAGAAUGACGGAGAAACGCCGCGUGAGUGAUGAAGGUCUGCGGAGCGUAAAACUAUGUUAUUAGGGAUGAACACAUGUUUAAGUUGCGACGCACGGCUUGACGGUAUCAUAUCAGAAGACCACGGGUAACUACGUG
rnacentral:rRNA from 1 species